rnacentral:rRNA from 1 species
GAUGAACGCUGACAGAAUGCUUAACACAUGCAAGUCUACUUGAUCCUUCGGGUGAUGGUGGCGGACGGGUGAGUAACGCGUAAAGAACUUGCCCUGCAGUCUGGGACAACAUUUGGAAACGAAUGCUAAUACCGGAUAUUAUGUGAGUUUCGCAUGAAAUUCAUAUGAAAGCUAUAUGCGCUGCAGGAGAGCUUUGCGUCCUAUUAGCUAGUUGGUGAGGUAACGGCUCACCAAGGCGAUGAUAGGUAGCCGGCCUGAGAGGGUGAACGGCCACAAGGGGACUGAGACACGGCCCUUACUCCUACGGGAGGCAGCAGUGGGGAAUAUUGGACAAUGGACCAAAAGUCUGAUCCAGCAAUUCUGUGUGCACGAUGAAGUUUUUCGGAAUGUAAAGUGCUUUCAGUUGGGACGAAGUAAGUGACGGUACCAACAGAAGAAGCGACGGCUAAAUACGUGCCAGCAGCCGCGGUAAUACGUAUGUCGCAAGCGUUAUCCGGAUUUAUUGGGCGUAAAGCGCGUCUAGGCGGUUUGGUAAGUCUGAUGUGAAAAUGCGGGGCUCAACUCCGUAUUGCGUUGGAAACUGCCAAACUAGAGUACUGGAGAGGUAGGCGGAACUACAAGUGUAGAGGUGAAAUUCGUAGAUAUUUGUAGGAAUGCCGAUGGGGAAGCCAGCCUACUGGACAGAUACUGACGCUAAAGCGCGAAAGCGUGGGUAGCANACAGG